GAUGAACGCUGGCGGCGUGCCUAAUACAUGCAAGUCGAGCGAACGGACGAGAAGCUUGCUUCUCUGAUGUUAGCGGCGGACGGGUGAGUAACACGUGGAUAACCUACCUAUAAGACUGGGAUAACUUCGGGAAACCGGAGCUAAUACCGGAUAAUAUUUUGAACCGCAUGGUUCAAAAGUGAAAGACGGUCUUGCUUUCACUUAUAGAUGGAUCCGCGCUGCAUUAGCUAGUUGGUAAGGUAACGGCUUACCAAGGCAACGAUGCAUAGCCGACCUGAGAGGGUGAUCGGCCACACUGGAACUGAGACACGGUCCAGACUCCUACGGGAGGCAGCAGUAGGGAAUCUUCCGCAAUGGGCGAAAGCCUGACGGAGCAACGCCGCGUGAGUGAUGAAGGUCUUCGGAUCGUAAAACUCUGUUAUUAGGGAAGAACAUAUGUGUAAGUAACUGUGCACAUCUUGACGGUACCUAAUCAGAAAGCCACGGCUAACUACGUG
rnacentral:rRNA from 1 species